rnacentral:sRNA from 1 species
UCCUAGCCCGGAUAGUAGCGGCAUCCUUUUGCGGCCGCAGCGCAGCGGAGGCCGUAAAAGAUAAAGCGGAUAGCCGGAAAAAGC